CCUACGGGAGGCAGCAGUGGGGAAUAUUGGUCAAUGGGGGAAACCCUGAACCAGCGACGCCGCGUGAGUGAAGAAGUAUCUAGGUACGUAAAGCUCUAUUAGCAGGAAAGAAAAUGACGGUACCUGACUAAGAAGCACCGGCUAACUACGGGACAGCAGCGGCGGCAAUACGUAGGGGGCAGACGUUAUCCGGAGUUACUGGGUGUAAAGGGAGCGUAGGCGGCAGCGAAAGUCUGGAGGGAAAUGCCGGGGCCCAACCCCGGAACUGCUCUGGAAACUGGGAAGCUGGAGUGCAGGAGAGGUAGGCGGAAUGCCUGGUGUAGCGGUGAAAUGCGUAGAUAUCAGGAGGAACACCGACGGCGAAGGCGGCUUACUGGACUGUAACUGACGUUGAGGCACGAAAGCGUGGGGAGCAAACAGGAUUAGAUACCCCUGUAGUC
rnacentral:rRNA from 1 species